UUCAUUACAACAGCAAUUAAUAUACGAUCAGAAAGUAUAACUUUAGAUCAAACACCUUUAUUUGUAUGAUCUGUAGCUAUUACAGCAUUACUUCUCCUUCUUUCACUUCCAGUUUUAGCAGGAGCUAUUACUAUAUUAUUAACAGAUCGAAAUUUAAAUACAUCAUUCUUUGACCCUGCAGGAGGGGGUGACCCAAUUCUAUAUCAACAUCUAUUUUGAUUCUUUGGACACCCAGAAGUUUAUAUUUUAAUUCUACCGGGGUUCGGAAUUAUUUCACAUAUUGUAUGUCAAGAAAGAGGAAAAAUUGAAUCAUUUGGAACAUUAGGUAUAAUUUAUGCUAUACUAUCAAUUGGACUAAUAGGAUUUAUUGUAUGAGCACAUCAUAUAUUUACAGUAGGAAUGGAUGUUGACAUACGAGCAUAUUUUACAUCAGCAACAAUAAUUAUUGCUGUACCUACAGGAAUUAAGGUAUUUAGAUGAUUAGCUACAUUAUAUGGAACUAAAUUCAAGUUCAAUCCACCAUUAUUAUGAGCUCUAGGAUUUAUUUUCCUAUUUACAAUUGGUGGAUUAACAGGAUUAGUAUUAGCAAAUUCAUCACUUGAUAUUGUAUUACAUGAUACAUAUUAUGUAGUAGCCCACUUUCAUUAUGUAUUAUCUAUAGGAGCAGUAUUUGCAAUUAUAGGAGGUGUCAUUCAAUGAUAUCCACUAUUUACAGGAUUAACUAUAAAUAAUACAUGAUUAAAAAUCCAAUUUACAAUUAUAUUCAUUGGAGUAAAUUUAACAUUCUUUCCUCAACACUUCCUAGGAUUAGCAGGAAUACCUCGACGAUACUCUGACUACCCAGACGCAUAUACAUCAUGAAACGUAGUAUCAAGAAUUGGGUCUACAAUUUCUAUUAAGGAAUCAUUAUAUUCAUUGUAAUUAUAUGAGAAAGAAUGAUUACAAACCGAGCAAUUAUAUUUAGAGCUAACAUAAGAAGAUCAACAGAAUGAUUACAAAAUAACCCUCCUGCAGAACAUAGUUACUCAGAAUUACCAUUAAUCUCUAGAU